CAUCACUCCCAACCUCCUGAGCUUUCUCAGUUUGCUUAAUUCUGCGGGGAAAUCACCACCACCAUGUAAUCCAGUGAGGGUAAGGAGGUCAGUGAAUCGAGAUAUCAUUUCUGGCAUCUUCAUUCCCAUGUUCUUUAACAUUUUGAUGUGCUUUAAUCUAAUCAGAUUUGAGUAUUUCACCAGAUAGUGAUGUCAAUCUCCCGCAGCAGCAGUCCAACGUCUCCAAAGCAUUUAAGUUGCCGAUUGUCACCGGAAGAUCAGCCAUAUCAUUUUGUUUCAAGCCCAGAUAAGUCAAAUGAAUCAAGUCUCCCAAUUCAUCAGGUAUGCUCUUGAUCUCAACUCCUUCAAGAUCUAGCGCCCGGAGAAACUUUGCUCCUGGGAAGCUCAACCAGUUCCCUUCGAAACGAUACUGUUUCCCAAACGAGAACAAUGUUCUCGGCCUAAUAUCUUUCAGCAACUCUGCUAUAUUUGUCAUGUCAGGAGCUAAAAUCCGACGUGCUCUUCUGGGGAUGGUUGAAUAUGGUGCAGGAUGGGUAGAUACAAAUCGUUCGCGAACGAUUUCUCGAUAAAGAGAUGCAAUAGUGAUGCUUGUUCCAUGACCUGGGUGUUCAUUCUUCUUGCAGAUCAUCCCUGGAACGAUCAGUUCGUUGAUAUUCUCUGCAGCUAAUUCCUCUGGUAAUCUUCCGGCCAAUUCCUGGACCAGACCUUCUGCUACUAGCAACCGGAUCAACUUCCCCUUGGCGAUCAAGUAACCCUCUGGGAAUAUGCAGCAAUAUAACAAGCAAGAUUGAAGGUAAUAAGGCAAGCUAGCAUAGAUUAACCUGGAUUCAUCCAAAGUUUCAUCCUCGAC
rnacentral:lncRNA from 1 species